GUCUCUGUAGCUUACAACAAAGCAUGGCACUGAAGAUGCCAAGACGGUCCUCCACCUACCCAGGGACA
rnacentral:tRNA from 1 species